AUUGACGCUGGCGGCAGGCCUAACACAUGCAAGUCGAACGAGUGGCGGACGGGUGAGUAAUUUCUGGGAAACUGCUUGAUGGAGGGGGAUAACUACUGGAAACGGUAGCUAAUACCGCAUACCAUCGGAUGUGCCCAGAUGGGAUUAGCUAGUAGGUGGGGUAAAGGCUCACCUAGGCGACGAUCCCUAGCUGGUCUGAGAGGAUGACCGGCCACACUGGAACUGAGAAACGGUCCAGACUCCUACGGGAGGCAGCAGUGGGGAAGAUUGCACAAUGGGCGCAAGCCUGAUGCAGCCAUGCCGCGUGUAUGAAGAAGGCCUUCGGGUGGUAAAGCACUUUCAGCGAGGAGUCGUUACUCGCACAAGAAGCACCGGCUAACUACGUGCCAGCAGCCGCGGUAAUAC
rnacentral:rRNA from 1 species